rnacentral:rRNA from 1 species
GAUUAACGCUGGCGGUAUGCCUAAUACAUGCAAGUCGAACGAGAUUUAUGAUUAAGUUUCAAGUCCCAAGUUCCAAGUUUUGAGUUUAUCUUAAACACUUGUUACAUGGCACCUGAUACUUUAUUACAUUUCUAGUGGCGGACGGGUGAGUAACACGUUGGAACCUGCCCCAAAGUGAGGAAUAAGCCACCGAAAGGUGGUCUAAUACUUCAUAAUAUCCAUCUCGUAUGGAUUAAAGCUUUAUGCGCUUUGGGAGGGGCCUGCGUAACAUUAGCUAGUUGGUGAGGUAAAAGCUCACCAAGGCUUCGAUGUUUAACUGGUUUGAGAGGAUGACCAGUCACACUGGGACUGAGAUACGGCCCAGACUCCUACGGGAGGCAGCAGUAAGGAAUAUUGCUCAAUGGCCGAAAGGCUGAAGCAGCAACGCCGCGUGGAGGAUGAAAUACUUUUGUAUGUAAACUCCUGUAAGAAGGGAAAAAUAUUCCGAUUUAUCGGGAUUGAUUGUACCUU